UACAUGCAAGUCGAGCGAACAGAUAAGGAGCUUGCUCCUUUGACGUUAGCGGCGGACGGGUGAGUAACACGUGGGUAACCUACCUAUAAGACUGGAAUAACUCCGGGAAACCGGGGCUAAUGCCGGAUAACAUAUAGAACCGCAUGGUUCUAUAGUGAAAGAUGGUUUUGCUAUCACUUAUAGAUGGACCCGCGCCGUAUUAGCUAGUUGGUAAGGUAAUGGCUUACCAAGGCGACGAUACGUAGCCGACCUGAGAGGGUGAUCGGCCACACUGGAACUGAGACACGAUCCAGACUCCUACGGGAGGCAGCAGUAGGGAAUCUUCCGCAAUGGGCGAAAGCCUGACGGAGCAACGCCGCGUGAGUGAUGAAGGGUUUCGGCUCGUAAAACUCUGUUAUUAGGGAAGAACAUAUGUGUAAGUAACUGUGCACAUCUUGACGGUACCUAAUCAGAAAGCCACGGCUAACUACGUGCCAGCAGCCGCGGUAAUACGUAGGUGGCAAGCGUUAUCCGGAAUUAUUGGGCGUAAAGCGCGCGUAGGCGGUUUGUUAAGUCUGAUGUGAAAGCCCACGGCUCAACCGUGGAGGGUCAUUGGAAACUGGGAAACUUGAGUGCAGAAGAGGAAAGUGGAAUUCCAUGUGUAGCGGUGAAAUGCGCAGAGAUAUGGAGGAACACCAGUGGCGAAGGCGACUUUCUGGUCUGUAACUGACGCUGAUGUGCGAAAGCGUGGGGAUCAAACAGGAUUAGAUACCCUGGUAGUCCACGCCGUAAACGAUGAGUGCUAAGUGUUAGGGGGUUUCCGCCCCUUAGUGCUGCAGCUAACGCAUUAAGCACUCCGCCUGGGGAGUACGACCGCAAGGUUGAAACUCAAAGGAAUUGACGGGGACCCGCACAAGCGGUGGA
rnacentral:rRNA from 1 species